rnacentral:RNase_P_RNA from 4 species
UAAGCUGUUCCUCUCAUCGCUCUUUGUUUUUAAUAAAGGGAGGAAAGUCCGGACACCACAGAGCACCAUGCUUCCUAACGGGAAGGCCCGCUUCGGCGGGACAGCCAGUGCAACAGAAAUUAUACCGCCACGGCCUUGUGCCGGGGUAAGGGUGAAAUUGUGAGGUAAGAGCUCACAGCUGCCGGAGGUGACUCCGCAGAAGGUAAACCUCAUGGGGUGCAAAGCCACGUAUACCGGCUUAGGGCUGCUCGCCCAUGCCGGGGGGUAGGCUGCUAAAGGUCCAUGGCGACAUGUACCGCAGAUAAAUGAUGAGAUUCUGCUUCGGCAGAACACAGAAUCCGGCUUAUGGGACAGCUUAUUUU